GACGAACGCUGGCGGCGUGCCUAAUACAUGCAAGUAGAACGCAGUUGCGAACGGGUGAGUAACGCGUAGGUAACUGCCUCAUAGCGGGGGAUAACUAUUGGAAACGAUAGCUAAUACCGCAUACUGUGAGAUGGACCUGCGUUGUAUUAGCUAGUUGGUGCGGUAAAUGCCCACCAAGGCGACGAUACAUAGCCGACCUUCGAGGGGGUUCGGACGACCUGGGACUGGGGCACGGCGCAGACUCGUACGGGAGGCAGCAGUAGGGAAUCUUGGGUGAUUGACGGAAGGCUGACCGUGAAACGCCGCGUGGGUGACGAAGGCUUUCGGAUCGGAUAGCUCUGUUGUUAGAGAAGCGGUUACUACCCAGAAAGGGACGGAUAACUACGUGCCAGCAGCCGCGGUAAUAC
rnacentral:rRNA from 1 species